GUUGUGAGAUGGGGCUCCAAUAGGAAAAAGUCUAGGGGUGAAGGAGUGGGGCAAAGUGUAAUUUGGGGAACCAAUCAGGAUAAGUUUCUAGGCAUAAUUGACCUGGUUCUUGACUGGGGCUUGGAGGCCAAGAAGGGUGGGAAUGGGAAAAGUGGGAGGGAAACUUCUCAAAGGAGGAUUUGUCACCUGUCUGGGUCACUGCCUAUGAGCCCUUCUUCUCUACAAAGCACUUGAAGGCUGGAGCUGAUGGCCAUCCAUCCUGAAACUCUAUCCUUAGUUAACCAUGAAAAUUCUGACUGAGGGCCUGGAGCUAUCUCCAUCUUCAGCUCCAGAGUCCUUGGUUCCUGUCUGAGAACAAAUGGCACAGCAUCCCUGCCAGGAUCAAGAACAAAAGGCAGAAAUGACCUCCAAGCAGCAGAGAAGCACAUCCAUAGAAGAGACAAUGAGACCACAGGAAAGACAUGUAACCAUCACUGAAACCCUGUGGGACCAGGUGCUGACAGUUUUUAAGGAUAUACAAAAGGAGCUGCAGGAAGAUGCUCGGAUUCGAGGGAUGAGCAACUGCUCCAUGACACCCAUGACAUCAGCACCCAGGACUGGAGAAUAAGGCCUCCAGAUUCCUUGAUGACCCCAAAGUUGAGAAGAUUGCAAUUCAGCUCUGGAGAGCAGCCAUCAGGAGGCCGUGUCCACAACCUGAAGACACAGCUCUUCAGUCAAUCAGCUUUCUACCCUGGACCCUAACUCUAUAAUCAAGGAAGAAGGACAUCUCUGCUUCAGCCAGCACAUACAGCACAGCUUCAGUUGGGGAAGAUAUUAGCAGACAUCAUCACUGAACCCAGAAGAGAGGGUGGUGCCCAUGAGUGGAGAUGCGAGGGUCUAUGGCUGAAACUGGGAACUUGGAAAUCAAGUGAGACCCAAGCACAUUCCAACUGCCAAAGCAAGGAAACCAGCAAACAAACAGCUGAUGAAAUAAAUGUGACAUAAAAGACUUGCCCUCCUGGUUCUUCCUGGGCUGUGGAAUGCAUAGUGAUAGAAUUUCCAAGUAUGAUAGUGCAUUUGGUUCAAAGAACAGCACUGUAGCAUGGGAGAACCUGCACUAUAAUGUCAUAAACUCAGUCUGACUUUGUCUGAGUUUUUCUUCUUUGUGGGCCUCAGUUUCCUCUCCCAUAAAGUAAGUAGUUGUUACUAGAAAAUUCUGAAGGUACCUUUCAUUUCCAAUAUCCUGUGAUCUGGAUGGUCUCACAGUCUACCAUUUAAAGAUAGUUACUCCCAGCCUAUGAAAAGACCACCUAGUACAAAAGUAUUUCCUACAAGAAAGGACUGUUUAGGGUAUUUGUCAAAGAUGGUAAUCUUUGUAUAUAUAAAUGCGCAUAUUAC